UGACAUGGUGCCCUGCCCUGGGAACCUCGCUAUCCCUAACACUUGAGACUGGCUCUCACUUGUCCUUUGCUCUUGAAGGGUAGGUCAUCAUGAGUCUCCGGUCCCUAAAUUGAACAAAUUCCUCUGGAGUUUCUUCAUGUUUCCCACCUGCAUAAGUCUCUUCUGGUAACAAGCUUUAGAUUUUUCAGGUUCUCUGCGUUCCAGAUGCAAGGGCAGAGGCCAGCCUGGAGAAGGAGUACUGUGGGAUUCGGGUCCUUCUGAAGGAGUUCAACAGCUAGGCAACCAACAGCCCCACAAGGAUGAGGUUUGAUAGUGAAUCCUUUCUUCGAGUGGUAGAAAACAACCAAAUGAAGGUCAAGAAAGA